UGAGGAAUAUUGGACAAUGGGUGAGAGCCUGAUCCAGCCAUCCCGCGUGAAGGAUGACGGUCCUAUGGAUUGUAAACUUCUUUUGUACAGGGAUAAACCUACUCUCGUGAGGGUAGCUGAAGGUACUGUACGAAUAAGCACCGGCUAACUCCGUGCCAGCAGCCGCGGUAAUACGGAGGGUGCAAGCGUUAUCCGGAUUUAUUGGGUUUAAAGGGUCCGUAGGCGGACUUGUAAGUCAGUGGUGAAAUCUCAUAGCUUAACUAUGAAACUGCCAUUGAUACUGCAGGUCUUGAGUAAAUUUGAAGUGGCUGGAAUAAGUAGUGUAGCGGUGAAAUGCAUAGAUAUUACUUAGAACACCAAUUGCGAAGGCAGGUCACUAAGAUUUAACUGACGCUGAUGGACGAAAGCGUGGGGAGCGAACA
rnacentral:rRNA from 1 species